rnacentral:tRNA from 1 species
GCGGGCGUGGCGAAAUUGGCAGACGCGCCGGGUUUAGGUCCCGGUCCCCUCGGGGGUGGAGGUUCGAGUCCUCUCGCCCGCA